rnacentral:rRNA from 1 species
UGGGGAAUAUUGCACAAUGGGGGAAACCCUGAUGCAGCGACGCCGCGUGAGCGAAGAAGGUUUUCGAAUCGUAAAGCUCUGUCCUAUGGGAAGAUAAUGACGGUACCAUAGGAGGAAGCCCCGGCUAACUACGUGCCAGCAGCCGCGGUAAUACGUAGGGGGCAAGCGUUGUCCGGAAUCACUGGGCGUAAAGGGUUCGCAGGCGGAAAUGCAAGUCAGUUGUGAAAGGCAGAGGCUCAACCUCUGUAAGCAAUUGAAACUGUAUUUCUUGAGAUGUGGAGAGGCAAGUGGAAUUCCUAGUGUAGCGGUGAAAUGCGUAGAUAUUAGGAAGAAUACCGGUGGCGAAGGCGACUUGCUGUACACAAACUGACGCUGAGGAACGAAAGCGUGGGUAGCAAACAGG